AUGUCGCGUUUUUGGUGGGGUGAUGACGACAACCAGAGAAGGAUGCAUUGGAUGGCGUGGUGGAAAAUGUGUGUCCCGAAAAGCCAAGGCGGAAUGGGCUUUCGUGAUAUUCAUUGUUUUAAUUUGGCGAUGUUGGCUAAACAAGCUUGGCGUCUCCUUGAGAACCCAGAUUCCUUGCGUGCCACCAUUUUGCGAGUUAAGUAUUUCCCUGAUGGAGAUUUAUUGAAUGCAAAGUUAAAAAAGGGAUCAUCCUUCACGUGGCAAAGUAUUAUGGCGGGGAUUAAUACCUUAAAACAUGGCUAUAUUUGGCGAGUUGGAAAUGGUCAGAAAAUUGACAUUUGGGAAGAUGCUUGGAUCCCUAACUGUGUUAAUAGAAAAGUCAUCACUCCAAAGGGGCAACAUUUGUUAUCAAAAGUGUCGGAUUUCAUUGACCCUUCUUCGAAUAGGUGGGAUGAGGAUCUCAUCAGACAGACCUUGUGGCCCAUUGAUUCACAGCGGGUCCUUGCUAUCCCUCUGCCUCAGUUUGAUAUGUCAGAUUUUGUUGCCCGGAGUCAUACUAAGAGUGGGAUUUUUUCUGUUCGGUCUGCAUAUUUUGUUGAGUAG
rnacentral:rRNA from 1 species